rnacentral:lncRNA from 1 species
CACUUUCACUUUUUCAUCCUUGUAUUUUUCUAUCCAACCUACCAAGCAAAGUCUAAGUCUUCCCACCCACCCUGUGCCCCUUUCAAAAUGACAUUGUAGUAACAGAAUUAUGCAUAUCCAACUCACACGCUUUCUGGAAAUAAAUAACUAAGCAUAGGACACAUUCAGGUGUAUUCAUUCUCUACAACAACUUGUUAAGCAUUCAUGCAGCAAAGUCAUUAAAAAAAUCAUUAAGGAGGAAAACCUUGAAGCUUCAACAAAAUUCCCAUGCCUUUCUUCUCUCUUUCACAUGACAAUUCCAGUGGUAUAGGAAUCUCAUAUCUGCAAACCAUCAAUCAAAGAAAUGAUGACACCAACGCCCACUGCAGUUACUAAAGAAUACUUUUAUGUUUUCUUUUUCUGAACCGUUUACUGAUUGAAGGGCAUAGGGCAUAUAAUUAAGAUUCACUAGCAAUAGCACAGAGGGAGAGGGUGGGGGAGGGG